rnacentral:misc_RNA from 1 species
AGAACCUUUCAUUCUAAAAGAAAUCAUCAGAUUUAAAAGUUUGGGUGAACGAUAGAUUUUUUGUUGUUGGAAAAGUUAUUUGAUUUAAUUGGCAAGAAACUGGUAUUCACAGGUGGGUAUGAAGAUGAUGAUAUAGGAAACAAAGCUUGAAUUGAAAUGAUUGAUGAUCCAUAUGAUGCACUGUUAUUGUUAAGUCUCUUUGUUUCGGGUGCUCUGGGGCUUUUUGUCCGUGUCCCUGUAUGGUUUGCAGUGAAAUUACUCCAAAAAGACCGCCGAUAGUUAUACAGGCAGAUGAUUUUCUCACUUCUUUUCUGGCAAUUUUGCAUCUAUUUUGAUGUGGGGCUUCCAACAUUUGGUGUAUCAUGUCGUAGUACCCCAUUUCUCCAUCAAAAUAUUACAUCGUUUCGUGGUAGCUAUACCAGUUGAUUGUUAAUGGAUAUAGAAACAUCUUCUCAACGUCUUUCCUGGUCACAUGCCAUGAGUGCUUGAUUCGUAGAUUCAAUUAAUGGGAAACUAGGGUAGAUUUUUAGGCCAGGAAUGAGCAGGUGCAUAUGAACUUCAUGAGUAUUAGUUAAGUAUCCU